rnacentral:rRNA from 1 species
UACGGGGGGGGCAAGCGUUGUUCGGAAUUACUGGGCGUAAAGCGUGCGUAGACGGCUAUCUAAGUCGGGUGUGAAAGCCCCGGGCUCAACCUGGGAAUUGCAUUCGAGACUGAAUAGCUAGGGUACGGUAGAGGGAAGCGGAAUUUCCGGUGUAGCGGUGAAAUGCGUAGAUAUCGGAAGGAACAUCAGUGGCGAAAGCGGCUUCCUGGACCAGUACCGACGUUCAGGCACGAAAGCGUGGGGAGCAAACAGG